ensembl:lncRNA
AAAUUAUCAAGUGCACGAGGCAGGAAGCGGCGUAAAGGAGAGGAGCAGAAAAAAAAGAGUAAUAUAGAGGUGAUGCUGACAUUGUGUCUAUUCCGGACAUCGUUGAUGAAAUUAAGUUUCUGAACAAGGCAAGCGGAUCGAACUCGGGCGAAGCGGCUCCGCGAGUCAGGUCGGAUAACUCCGUGUUCAAUGAGGACUCGCUCGAGCUUCACAUGGUGCGGCUAGAACUGGAGGAUUUGGAGAAGCAGAUCCGUGGCCUACUCAACAAGCAGGCCCAGCUGCUGGAGCGACAAACUGAGCUGGAAACAUCUUGUGCCUCUGCCCACAUAUCCAAGGGACCGUGCACCUAGGACUUUCCCAGCCGUGGUCUCCGUCACGCCGCCGCCAACACUCCUCAGGCCUUGGGUGAACCAGUGGCGGAAGGCGCGGGCUGGACCACAGGUGAGGAGCUCUCCACCUCCGGUGUUCGAGAUUCCAACCGGGAACCGCUUCGCCCCUCUCCGUCAGACCAGACCUAACGCUGUGAUCGUCGGGGACUCCAUUGUGCGGAACGUCCGUGUAGCCUCAUCUAAAGGUGAUGACUUUUGAUGAAAAGUGAGUUUCUAGACAUAAAAUGUCAC